rnacentral:rRNA from 1 species
CCUACGGGUGGCAGCAGUGAGGAAUAUUGGUCAAUGGGCGAGAGCCUGAACCAGCCAAGUCGCGUGAAGGAUGACGGCCCUACGGGUUGUAAACUUCUUUUGUCAGGGAGCAAUUGAGUCCACGUGUGGUCUUAGCGAGAGUACCUGAAGAAAAAGCAUCGGUAAACUCCGUGCCAGCAGCCGCGGUAAUACGGAGGAUGCGAGCGUUAUCCGGAUUUAUUGGGUUUAAAGGGUGCGUGGGCGGAAUAUCAAGUCAGCGGUAAAAAUUCGGGGCUCAACCCCGUCGUGCCGUUGAAACGGAGGUUCUUGGGUGAGCGAGAAGGAAGCGGAAUUCGUGGUGUAGCGGGGAAAUGCAUAGAUAUAACGCAGAACUCCGAUUGCGAAGGCAGCAUACGGGCGCCCAACUGACGCUGAAGCACGAAAGCGUGGGUAUCGAACAGGAUUAGAUACCCUGGUAGUC